AGUGGAAUUCUAUGGUGAAUUGCUAAGCAAAAAAGGUGGGCUUAAGGCAACAGAGAAGCCCAAUCUGGAUAUGAGUGAGGAUCAUGGGAUCAGUUUCACACUCAGUUCACAUGUUCAACUCAUUUCCAUGUUCAAAAUACAUAGCGGUAAAUCUUCGCCGCGUUGGAAUUCACCAUCGGUGGAGGUGGAGCAUCAAACACACAAAAACCUAUACCAUUUCAAACAACUCAAUGAGCUUUAACCACAUCAAAUAUCAAUUUCAUCUAAUUCAUCCUAAAAUCUCAAAAUUGAGUCAUAUUGGAUAAGAACCCUAACUGAAAAAAGACUAAUUAAAAGCCCAAUUGGAGGAGUCAAAGUCCCUAAGGUUAUGGCUUUGAUUCCUCGGCCCCUCCCCUACAUGAUGGCAACGAGAACUGCAUUUAAAGAUGAAGAACCGAAACCUACCUGCCGGAGAAAAGCGAAGAUGUUAAUGGAGAUGAUUACAGGUUGUUUGAAUGAUGCAGUGCUUGUACAUUGGCCAUGACUCAAGGAUGCUUGGCAUGGAGGCUCAUGAAAGCUCAUGGUGAUAGCUUGAAGAAACCCAAGUUUGCUUGCACAUGAAGAAAGUUUUGGCCAUGCAAUCAAAUGGAAGAAUGAAAAAGAAUAAAGAGUCAAAGGGCAUUAGGGUUAGGACCAACGAAUUAAAAACUCAACAGUUAACCAAAAGUCAAUGGUAGGUCAAAUUCUAUUUUUGUAAUUUGUUUGGAGAAACUUUAUAAUUUGAUAUUGUGUGAAUGAAAAUAGUUCUUUGAAUCAAUGCAAAAAUGCUUUAUUUUCAAA